GAAACUCUAUCGGUAAAAAAAGUUUGAGGAUCACAACAACAGAUCCAAAUAAAAAAUUUCUUUCUGUAAUUCACCUUCUCUAGCUUCCAAGAAGGUGAUUACAGGAAGAGAAUUGCAAAAUUAAUUAAUAAUAACAAUUUUAAAACCCUUAUAUCAAUAAUAUACAGUAAUAAAUAAUUAUAAUAUAUAUAAAUAACCCCAGAACAAGAGCUUUUUUUUUCUUCUUCUUUCCUUAGCAUCUAAGAGAUUCUUUUCUUUGUGCUUUUCUGAUACCUUGGCUUAGUUGGUGAGGCUUAAUUUGAUUCAAUCCCACAAAUUUUUGGUUCUUAUUUAAUUGAUGUCGGCGAAAGCUUUGAGACGGAGACUUCAUCAUGGGGACCUUGAUGGGAAAAGGAAAGAGCAUUUGAAUGCAUCAGAAUAUGAUGGUCUAAGUGAACCUUUACUUGGGAGUCAUGAUCAUGAUGAUAUACCUGCAGAGGCACUUACACUGGAAGAUAUUUGGGAUGCUGAAGAAAGGAGAGAACACUUUCAUUGGACGAUGCUACUGUCUCAGUUGAUUGCGCAGUGGACUCAAUGGUUAGCGAAUAUUGUCCUAGGUUCUGGAUCACUCAUUGGGCGUUUUCUGCCACUUCCUUUUGCGGGUCACAAUGGAUUAAAUGGAAGGAUUAUGCAGCCUUAUCUUACUCCUUUACAGGAAGAACGACUCAGAAAUUUACAACAAAGGCUGGGAGUUCCUUUUGAUGGCUCUCGAUUAGAGCAUCAAGAUGCGCUUAAACAGCUAUGGAGGUUAGCUUUUCCUGGUAGGCAACUUCCAUCUCUUAAAUCGGAUCUUUGGAAAGAGAUGGGCUGGCAAGGAUCAGAUCCCUCAACUGAUUUUCGGGGUGGAGGAUUUAUAUCGUUAGAGAAUCUAAUUUAUUUUGCGAUCACAUAUCCGGAAACAUUCCAGAGAUUGUUGCACAAACAAGACGGAACCAGAGCCGAGUGGGAGUAUCCAUUUGCUGUUGCUGGCGUGAACAUAUCAUUUGUGUUGGCACAAAUGUUGGAUCUUCAAACUGGGAAGCCAUCUACUCCUGCAGGAAUCCGAUUUUUAGAGUUACUUGCAGAAGAUGAAAUGGCAUUUGACAACCUUUAUUGUGUAGCCUUUCAAAUGAUGGAUGCUCAAUGGCUUGCGAAGCGUGCUUCUUAUAUGGAAUUCAAUGAAGUUUUGAAGUCUACAAGGACGCAGUUAGAACGGGAGCUUGCACUUGAAGAUGUCUGUAGUGUCAAAGAUUUGCCAGCAUACAAUUUGUUAAGAGGAUAACCAUCUCAAAGAAUUUGGACGGAAAUUGGAAUAGCUUUCCUUUGUGGAUGGAGGGUUCAGUUCGAUUAUUUGUUUCAGAAGGAGAAGGGGAGACCUUGACAUGGAGGUGGAGUACAAAUCCAAGAAGAACACCGAGUGGCAAACCAACCACAUAGUAGCAAAAUAUAUUAACAUAUGCAACCGUGCUCUGUCUUCCUGCACCUAUCGCUGCCCCUGCACAUAUAUACCGGAUCUUCAAGACUCCGGCAAACAAAACAGAACAAGGCGCUGCAGUUGGUGGAUAUAUAGCCGGAAAAGAAUUGCUUGCCUGAAAGUACUGCCUGAAAGCUGUUCAGUAGAACGGAGAAAGCAAGCAGAAGAGAGAGGGUUGACACAUAUUUUGCCACUUCUUCUUUACUAGUAAACAAGUAAGCAAUUUUGUGGCCAAAUGCUAAACAUAUUAUCCAAAACACAACUCCAAUGCUAACUGAAGUUGCCAAAUUCACUUUAAUGGCAAUUUUUGUAGCUUUAGCA